rnacentral:rRNA from 1 species
GACGAACGCUGGCGGUGUGCUUAACACAUGCAAGUCGAACGGUAAGGCCCUUUCGGGGGUACACGAGUGGCGAACGGGUGAGUAGCACGUGAGUAACCUGCCCUCAUCUCUGGGAUAACAGUCGGAAACGGUUGCUAAUACUGGAUAUGAGCUUGCAAGGCAUCUUGUGGGUUGGAAAGAUUUUUUUUGGUUGGGGAUGGACUCGCGGCCUAUCAGCUUGUUGGUGAGGUAGUGGCUCACCAAGGCUUCGACGGGUAGCCGGCCUGAGAGGGCGACCGGCCACAUUGGGACUGAGAUACGGCCCAAACUCCUACGGGAGGCAGCAGUGGGGAAUAUUGCACAAUGGACGGAAGUCUGAUGCAGCAACGCCGCGUGCGGGAUGACGGCCUUCGGGUUGUAAACCGCUUUCAAUUGUGACGAAGCUUUUUUGUGACGGUAGCAGUAGAAGAAGCACCGGCUAACUACGUG